rnacentral:rRNA from 1 species
GAUGAACGCUGGCGGCGUGCUUAACACAUGCAAGUCGAACGAAGCACCUCUCCCGAAGAUUGUCUCAGCUUGCUGUCGAUUGAUUCAUUUAAGGUGACUUAGUGUCGGACUGGUGAGUAACGCGUGGGUAACCUGCCUCAUAGAUGGGGACAACAGUUGGAAACGACUGCUAAUACCGCAUAGUAAGAAGAAUUCGCAUGUUUUCUUCUUGAAAGAUUUAUCGCUAUGAGAUGGAACCGCGUCUGAUUAGCUAGUUGGUAAGGUAACGGCUUACCAAGGCGACGAUCAGUAGCCGGCUAGAGAGAGUGGACGGACACAUUGGGACUGAGCAACAGCCCAAAAUCCUACGGGAGGCAGCAGAGGGGAAUAUUGCACAAUGGGGGAAACCAUGAUGCAGCGACGCCGGGUGAGUGAAGAAGUAUGGCGGUAUGUAAAGCUCUAUCAGCAGGGAAGAUAAUGACGGUACCUGACUAAGAAGCCCCGGCUAACUACGUG